rnacentral:rRNA from 1 species
UAAGUACGCCGGUUCCUAUUUGGGCGAAAUGGAACGGCUCGUACACGGUCGUAAUUUAGCGGGCGAUUCGUUCCCUUACUUGGAUAACUGUGGAAAAUCUAGAGCUAAUACAUGCACACAUGCCCGUCCGCCGUGCUUUUCGCCGGGUGCGUCUCCGGGCGGGCGCGUUUAUCAGUUGAAGCCAGCGGGGUUCCACGCUCCUUGGGAGUUGGCCUUCAUGUGACUCUAGGUAACCGUGCCGAUCGCGGGAGUUCUUAACAGGCUCCUAGCGACGCGCCCGAAAAACGUCUGCCCUAUCACACUGUCGAUGGUCGGCCCUGUGCCCACCAUGGUGACAACGGGUGACGGGGGAUCAGGGUUCGAUUCCGGAGAGGGAGCAUGAGAAACGGCUACCACCUCUAUGGAAGGCAGCAGGCGCCAACUUACCCAAUCUCGACUCGAGGAGGUAGUGCGAAAAAUAUCGUAGGGGACU